UUGGAGCUUGCUCCACCCCUGCCACGGGUUGGCCCAGUAUUGCAGUACUUCUGGGAUCGGCCCACUCCCUUUAUCAAUAUCAAAAAUAGAAAAGUAUAGUGUUCUUAUGAGGCCUUUUUAUAUAAUAAACUAAAAGAAAUUAUAGAGGUAAGAAUCCAUGUGAAGGUAAAAUUACAUGUGAAGAUGGACGAUGUAUUCCUGUAGAAAUAUGCUGUAAUCCUUUAUUAAUCUCAGAUUGUCCAAAGAAUUAUAGUGUUUCAGUUUGUCAAAAGUUUUCCCCAAUAGGCAAGCAUCCAAGUAGUCUUACUACUUUCUUUUUUCAUGAAGAACUGAGUUAUUAUAAAUCUUAAUCUUUAUUCAUGAUUAUAAUGAACCGUUUAGAUUAUUUUAUUUGCAGUUGAUUUUAUCGUCAACAAAUACAAAAGUUUUAAAGAUAUUGAAUGAUGUUUUGGAUUGUUUCAAUUUUCUACUGCCAAAUUGCAUCAAUUUCAGGCACCAUCUAGUGCACAUAGAUAGAUUGUUGUUUUUUAUUUCUGUCAUGAAGUUUGUGAUCACUUCUGUUGUUUGAACAUGAUAACUUGCUAGGUUUCGUUAGGGUAAGCCAAUUAAUCAAAUAUAUUUUGCUCAGAGAAGUGAUUAAUAAACAUGAAACAAUAUAUAACUAUUUAUUACUGUUAAUUUAAAAAGAACACAUAAAUACUGGUUUUGCAUCUUCCACGAUACUCUUCAGUUUCUAGAAUAAGUCUCUCUCUCUCUAUAACAAGAUGUACGUUAAAAUAAUUUAACUUAGUAACUUAACUUAUUGGUUAAACAUUAAUUGUUUUUUUUUAUACACUUCAAGGCUUUUAAUGUCAGGGAAGGUAAAUAAGAUUGAAAAUCGUUGUAAUUUUCUUGUGAUACUCUUCAAAGAUAGGUAAUUGCUUUAUUAUAGUCAAAAGUUUCUUUGUAAUUAAAAUUUGUCCAAACAUAUUUUAAAAAAAGUAUAUAUCUGUAUAUAAAAUAUAUAUCUGUAUCUUUUUAUAAGCAAGAUUAAUUUUUUCUCUGUGGGUAACCAGUUUGAUUUCCAAUAUAAAAGGAAAGUGUCAAGUAAGUGCAUACAAAAACUUUAUUUUUUUUAAAGGGAAAUUCAGAAAAGUGACAUUUUUGAAAUAGUGUUUAGGAAACCAAAUUAGUGACAAAUGAGACAUCUAUCAUUCUGCUCAGAAUUAUAUAAGUGGCCUUUGCAAUCGUCUAGAACAUGCGAAAUGAAAACACAUUGAAAAGUUAGACCUAAAACUUGGUGAAUUGCCACAACAGUGCUGUAGAUAAUUGGGAUGUUUGUGUUUUUCAUUUAUGCUUAUCAUUUAAUGUGUUCUUAACAGUAACGAUACUUCUCUAAAGCUGUACUUUCUGUCAAACUUUUCUUGUGGUUUUUAUAAAAAUUAUUGUCAGUUUCUUGGUUGUGAUGAUGUCAUCUUAGUCAUGAUAAUGCACAUGUUGACAAUACUUCAGUUAUGUGUUAAGAUAAGCAGAAUCUUUUCUAACCAUGCUGUGUUUUUGUAUUAUUUUACUUUUAGGAUAUUAGGGUCUUGAUUUUCAGAAUGAUGAUUUCCAUAAAUGUAGGAUUUGAAUUUCCAUUACAGACUAUAGACCUUACCCUUAUGUUCUUGACAGAAAUACACAGAGGCCUAUAUUAUAUACAACAGAACUUCUAUAAAAGAAAUAAUUAGCAAUAUAUCAAUGGGUUUGUUCUUAAUGGUUGUUACUAGAGCAUCUAUAUGUAAUUCUCAAACUCUUGAGCAUAUCUUGUAACAUGUUCUACAACUUAAUGAUUCUUAGGCAGAAAGUUGAUUAAAGUGUUGCAUUCCUUGGCAGUGUGUGAGUGCAUACUGAACUAUGUUAUACAUAAAUUAGACUUUUAGAGAAAAAAUUCACUUGUAAAAACUAUGGUAAGAAUUUAUUAUCUUGGCAACGUUUUGAGCAAAUGCUUUUUUUCAAUCCAGAAACAAGCCUAACAGUUAAUGAAAAUUACAGGAACAUUUU
rnacentral:lncRNA from 1 species